UACGGGGGGGGGCAAGCGUUGUUCGGAAUUACUGGGCGUAAAGGGCUCGUAGGCGGCCAACUAAGUCAGACGUGAAAUCCCUCGGCUUAACCGGGGAACUGCGUCUGAUACUGGAUGGCUUGAGGUUGGGAGAGGGAUGCGGAAUUCCAGGUGUAGCGGUGAAAUGCGUAGAUAUCUGGAGGAACACCGGUGGCGAAGGCGGCGAUCCUGGACCAAUUCUGACGCUGAGUGAGCGAAAGCC
rnacentral:rRNA from 1 species